rnacentral:rRNA from 1 species
CCUACGGGGGGCAGCAGUGAGGAAUAUUGGUCAAUGGGCGCGAGCCUGAACCAGCCAAGUAGCGUGAAGGAUGACUGCCCUACGGGUUGUAAACUUCUUUUAUAAAGGAAUAAAGUGAGGCACGUGUGCCUUUUUGUAUGUACUUUAUGAAUAAGGAUCGGCUAACUCCGUGCCAGCAGCCGCGGUAAUACGGAGGAUUCAAGCGUUAUCCGGAUUUAUUGGGUUUAAAGGGUGCGUAGGCGGUCGGAUAAGUUAGAGGUGAAAUCCCGAGGCUCAACUUCGGAAUUGCCUCUGAUACUGUUCGGCUAGAGAGUAGUUGCGGUAGGCGGAAUGUAUGGUGUAGCGGUGAAAUGCAUAGAUAUCACACAGAACACCGAUUGCGAAGGCAUCUCACGAAUCCGCGAUUGACGCUGAUGCACGAAAGCGUGGGUAUCAAACAGGAUUAGAUACCCGAGUAGUC